rnacentral:rRNA from 1 species
UGGGGAAUAUUGCACAAUGGGCGCAAGCCUGAUGCAGCCAUGCCGCGUGUGUGAAGAAGGCCUUCGGGUUGUAAAGCACUUUCAGCGAGGAGGAAGGUGGUGAGCUUAAUACGCUCAUCAAUUGACGUUACUCGCAGAAGAAGCACCGGCUAACUCCGUGCCAGCAGCCGCGGUAAUACGGAGGGUGCAAGCGUUAAUCGGAAUUACUGGGCGUAAAGCGCACGCAGGCGGUUUGUUAAGUCAGAUGUGAAAUCCCCGGGCUCAACCUGGGAACUGCAUUUGAAACUGGCAAGCUAGAGUCUCGUAGAGGGGGUAGAAUUCCAGGUGUAGCGGUGAAAUGCGUAGAGAUCUGGAGGAAUACCGGUGGCGAAGGCGGCCCCCUGGACGAAGACUGACGCUCAGGUGCGAAAGCGUGGGGCAGCAAACAGGAUUAGAUACCCUGGUAGUCCACGCUGUAAACGAUGUCGAUUUUGGAGGUUGUGCCCUUGAGGCGUGGCUUCCGGAGCUAACGCGUUAAAUCGACCACCUGGGGAGUACGGCCGCAAGGUUAAAACUCAAAUGAAUUGACGGGGUCAU